UCGCGCUCUCAGCGUGAUAAACGAGGAGAAGAGAAUUCUAUCGAGCUAAACCUACGAGGUUGAGUGGUGACGAGCGGGCGGCGGUGUUGAGUAGAGAAUAAUAAGAUGAUCUGUUGGUACUUAAGGUGUCGUUGUGUCCUCAUACAUAGCCUCACUUCUUUCUUGGUCGCUUCCGCUAUUGAUUAUGAAAACCGUGAUCUUUUGUUGGGAUAAAUACUUCUAUUCUUUCUUUCGUGGGUAUAUUUUGGGGUAUGAACAGUUAGAGAUAUUAUCUCGAAAACUUUGUUAAGCUUUUAUUUUAAAUAAGUCUUUUGUUGGAUUCCUUUGCUAA